GCAUGCUCAAACUGAGGGGAGAUCUUUCUGUAACACCCCUUAACAGUAAACGACCCUAAGCUGUGAUCAUUCCAGAUUAGCUUGUCGAUUCGUUUCUCCAAAGGAAGAGGUAUACUCAGUAUUAGAUUGCUGUCACGUUCCACAAAGAUAUCUCAGACCGCAUCUUCGUCCCACCCUGAGAAGUCUUCUUUAAUGAGGGCAGAAACCGGUGCAUCUUGAAGGCCAUAAGGGAAAGGGUGGCGUUACAACUUUCGUGUUGAUCGCGUCCAGGAGCCAGUCGUCACCCCAAAUUCUAAUAGAUGUGCCCUCCCCAACCCUCCAUCUACUGUGCCGUCUGAUUAUCUUUCUCCUGGGUUUCAACCAUGCUGCUCCAAAUAAAAAAUGGGUUCCCUCCUCUUCUUGAUACUAGAAUGGAGCAAAAUGGUCAUCGACUAUGUUUAUUUUUCUUGAUUUCAUCCUAAACGACUUUUGUGACCUAAUUUAGUCCCAAACUUGUGUAUUUUUAGAUAAUGUAGUCCUCCAUUUGCAUUUUCAUCCAAUGGUUGUUAAAUUGAAUGACAUUUUGGGAAUUGCAAUACUUUAUUUCAUGAUAAUCUUUUUCGGCA